rnacentral:lncRNA from 1 species
UUCAUCACUAAACCAACACGGAAUAGUUAAUAUUAUGAUAUAGACAUAUAGUAUAAGUUAUAUAAUCUCGAUCCCUCUCCAAUUCCAUCAUUCCUAAUCUUGGCCUAAGAUGAGUGGUAUAGAAUACUUCACUAUGUGUAAACUAUUCUAAUUGAGCAAUGUAUAUCGUUGGUGUGGAUAUGGAGUGGAUCAAUACUUUAAAGUAUAAUACUUAAAAUAUUCAAUUGUGACAGUUCACUUCUACCCAUUUGAGUCAAAUUUUAAAGUAUAUCUCUGACAUUUAUAGCAAUACGAAAAAAAAUAUUUGCCUUCAGUGGAAUCAGCUUCGAGGUGUUAUAAUAGAUGGAGGAAAAAAUAUGGCUGGAGUGAGGAAGGGUCUAGUGGGGCAUAUCAGGACUCAGUUGGAAGAUUUGCAAAUUCCGGGCGGUCUAUUUAUACAAUGCAUCAUACAUCAGCAAGCACUAUGUGGGAAACACUUAGAAAUAUAUUGUGUACUAAAAUCAGUCGUUUCUGCUAUGAACUUCAUUCAGGGAUAUGCACUCAAUCAUAAGUUCCAAGCUUUUCUUAGAGAAAUUGAUUCUGAUUUCUGUGACUUACCUUAUCACACAUCAGUGGGGUGGCUCAGCUCCAGUCAACUCCUAUUUGUUUUUACAACCUCCAAAACAAAACAAAAAAUUAUCACUGAAAAAGAAUGACCUGAUCCACUGCUGUCAGAUCUUAGCUGGCUGUCAAAGUUGUCAUUUUUGGUCGACAUUACUUCCCACAUGAAUGAAUUGAACUUGAAACUUCAGGGAAAGGAUAACCUCGUAUGUGAUCUUUCUGGAAUCAUCAAGGUAUUUUGCAGAAAGCUGUCAUUGUUUGAAGCACAACUGGAAGGGAAAAAACUUUUCUCAUUUUCACUGUUUCAAAGAGUUUUGCGCUACAACCUCGAUUUUCCGAAAAAAGAUUUUUCGUGACUUGAAGGAACAUUCUUUAAAGAGAUUUUCAGAUCUUGACAGAAUGGAGAGUGACAUUAUUCUGUUCCAGAAUCCUUUUGAUUGUAAUCUUGAUGAUGUGCUAGUAGAACUACAGUUGGAGCUGAAUGAUUUGCAAGAAAAUGACUUUUUGAAAGAGAAGCACACAGAAAGGAAACUUAUUACAUUCUACAGCUGCUUGCCUGAUGAUGAAUUUUCGAAACUGAAGAACUAUACCGCUGGUAUGCCAUCACUCUUUGCAACAACUUAUGUAUGUGAACAAAUAUUAUAAAAAACGAAUAAUGUGAAGUCAGCACAUCGAACACGAUUGACAGAUGAAUAUUUGAAAGCAAUUCUCUUGUUUGGAUGCAGCAAUUCCUAACCAAACAUUGAUGAUAUCUUGAAAACCAAACGUCAGUUUCACAAAUGUCACUAACUUUUUUUAGCUGCUUAGUUUUUAAGAUUGGGAUCUGUGCACACUAUAUCUGAUGUAACUAUAUAUAUUUUUUCUAAACAUUUAUAAAUAUUAGAUGUACAAAAAUAAAAAUAAACACAUAAAAGGAAA